rnacentral:tRNA from 1 species
GCCUGGGUGGCUCAGUCGGUUAAGCAUCUGACUUCGGCUCAUGAUCUCACGGUUCGUGGGUUCGAGCCCCACAUCAAGCU